UACGUAGGGGGCAAGCGUUGUCCGGAAUCAUUGGGCGUAAAGAGCGUGUAGGCGGCCCGAUAAGUCCGCCGUGAAAGUCCAGGGCUCAACCCUGGAAUGCCGGAGGAAACUGUCGGGCUGGAGUCCGGAAGAGGCGAGUGGAAUUCCUGGUGUAGCGGUGAAAUGCGUAGAGAUGGGGGAGAACACUCGUGGCGAAGGCGGCCAGCUAGACCAGUUCUGACACUGAUGCGCGACAGCGUGGGGAGCAAACAGG
rnacentral:rRNA from 1 species